UACGAAGGGGGCGAGCGUUGUUCGGAAUGUCUGGGCGUAAAGGGCUCGUAGGCGGCCAACUAAGUCGGACGUGAAAUCCCUCAGCUUAACUGGGGAACUGCGUCCGAUACUGGAUGGCUUGAGUUUGGGAGAGGGAUGCGGAAUUCCAGGUGUAGCGGUGAAAUGCGUAGAUAUCUGGAGGAACACCGGUGGCGAAGGCGGCAUCCUGGACCAACACUGACACUGAGGAGCGAAAGCCAGGGGAGCAAACGGG
rnacentral:rRNA from 1 species